GGCUGCCCUGUACAUAUGGAGGAUCCCUAUCAGUAGAGCUGGACUCAGUUUCUUCACUUUACAAGCUAGGAUCCAACUAUAGGUCAGUUCAAAUUUUAAGCCGAAGUUGAUAUGCCAUUUAACAACGAAAGAACAAAAAUUAUUGUUUGUCCAAUUCGUUAAUUAUUUGAUGGUCGGUUGUGUCUUGAAGCUUCACCAACUGAAGGUCACAGUUCAGUGUUUGCUCAUCGCUCACCUCUGUGCUAUGGUGCGAUUGGUGCUAUAUAAUGCUUGAGGGGGUGGAGCCAGUCCUCACUACAUACAUCAAUACACAG